rnacentral:misc_RNA from 3 species
AACACCUCAACCUCCUCUUGUUUUUUCAAAAGGAGGGUGGACUUGAGCUAUCCCAACAACCUUCACCGGUAGGCGGGCGGCUUGAAAUGCAGGUGCAGCUGGACUUUUAUCUGAGCUAAAAGCAUAUCUAUUUAGUCCUCGUCAAACAGGAUUAUUACUAUUGCUGCAGCUAACAUAAAGGAUAAUUGUCCUCAUUGCUGACUGAUGCAGGAUUUUACGACACUUUAUGUGUUGUUCA